rnacentral:rRNA from 1 species
CAGUCCCACGGUAAUACGGAGGAUCCAAGCGUUAUCCGGAAUCAUUGGGUUUAAAGGGUCCGUAGGCGGUCUUGUAAGUCAGUGGUGAAAGCCCAUCGCUCAACGGUGGAACGGCCAUUGAUACUGCAGGACUUGAAUUAUUGGGAAGUAACUAGAAUAUGUAGUGUAGCGGUGAAAUGCUUAGAGAUUACAUGGAAUACCAAUUGCGAAGGCAGGUUACUACCAAUUGAUUGACGCUGAUGGACGAAAGCGUGGGUAGCGAACAGGAUUAGAUACCCGCGUAGUCCCUGUCUCUUAUACA